UCUUUGUUAGUAUAUCGGUUAGUACACGCGCCUGUCAUAAAGUAUUGAGUUUAUUCCGGACGCGCGAAAGCUGGGUUCGACUCCCAGACAGAGAG